UAACAUAUAGCUUAACUUUCUAAAGCUUAGUGCUGAAGACGCUAAUAUGGAUUUUCCUAUGUUAA
rnacentral:tRNA from 2 species